rnacentral:lncRNA from 1 species
UAUAUUUAGGAACGGAGGGAGUAUUAGUUUAUGAAAUUUCCCUUUUAUUGUACUGUGCUACUGCUCUGAAUCCAGAAACACCUCUAGCCUAGAUAGUGCAAAAGGUGUUCCGGUGCAGUACUUGGUCAAGAACCACAGUUGCUACUAGCUAAUGGACGACCACGCCGACACGGGGAAAUGUUGGGCAGGCCCGAGCACUCCAAAUAGUUUUUAUGAUAUUUUUCUUUUGGAGUGUGACUAAUUUUGGUGGAGGUGCCACCAACUCACCAAGGCCAGCUAUGUCAAUAAGAGUACGUACGUAAACCGUGUGAAGAUGGGCAAGAACCUGUUUUAUUUGUCAACAAUCCACGGUCCAAAAGCUUGAAUUGGUUCACCUUUGACACAGACUAAUUAAUCGGUCAGUCAGGGCGCCACACUUCCCAUCGUCGCGAUGCCGAUUGGGGUGCGUUUGGUCGUGGAGGAACAGCUAGGUGGUCUCUCUGAGUUGAAUGGAGUAUAAGUCAGCCUGUCACUGGAUUUUAUUAACGAACCAUGGCACCCUGGAGUUGCCGGUACCAACCAACAUGGGCUGCCAAGGAUGGCUCCCACGAACGCGCCUUCGGCGAUGGAGGAGUUGUUGGUCAGGGGCACACAAACGGUAACUAGAAUUUGUUUUGGUCUACCGAUGCGUCAAACAGCGCA